UUUUUCUUCAUCAUUCCUACUUUCUUUCCUCUAUCAAAAACUCAUGAUUUCACAUUCCCUUCUUUCUUCUGUCAAAAACUCUUACCCCAAAAAUUUUCACUCACUUUCUCACCAUCUAAUUACCACCAAAAUCACAUAUCUUAAACCCUUUUCAUUUUCCUCCCCAUUUUUCAGCCACCAUCAACCAACUCCCACAACUUCCCCUCCCCUUUUCAAACUAACCCAUAAAAACUCAUGGCUUGAACCAACUGAGCUGAACUACACUUUCACCUAUCUUAGAUAACCUUGUGAUGGGAACCCAAUUGGACCAACCGUCUCAAAUGAAACUAUCGGUAAUGGCCCUUCCACUUCGUCUGCUUGCUAUAUGUCCACCAUGUUUAUUUUACUUUACCUCUCAAUUUCGUUUUAUUUGUAAAUAUUGUGUGGAAGGAAAAGUAGUGAUAAUAAAAAGGAGAAGAAAGAGGGUAAUGUAAGAUACAAUUUCAUGAAGCAAACAAUAAUAUCAAAAUUAAUAGUACCUAAUUUGUUUAAAAAUCAUUGUGCAAAUCAUAGUAUCCUUCUUCACCAUAAAUAGCCACUAUAACAAACAAACAAAUUACAAAAUGAAUUCUUCGAUAAAAAGCUUUAAAUCCUUAGAAACUUAUAAAGUAAAAAGAUAAAAAUCUAAUGGAGUUGCCUGCAUCUACCAUUUUUUUUGUUCUUUCUCGUAUUUUCUCAAGAAACAAAUAAAAAAAAUCUAACUACCCAAAAACUGAAAAAAUAGAAAAAAAAAUUGAAUACGAAAAAAAAAAAAAGAUGAACCAAGGCUCGAAAUAUAAAACAAAGAUAAACCUAGAAGCUAAAAAGAAAGCAAAGUGAACAAAAAAAAACUAUUUUUUUUGUGUUCUUUCUCAUAUUUUCCCAGGAAAAAACAAAAAAAUCCAAC
rnacentral:lncRNA from 1 species